AGAAAAGCAGCUCUUAACAAUUGAGGAUGAAGCAUUGUUAAGAGC
rfam:Enterococcus saccharolyticus ATCC 43076 genomic scaffold acpML-supercont1.1, whole genome shotgun sequence.